UUACCCAAUCACUGAUAUUGUAUAAAAAAGAACAUAAUUAACACCACAUACCACAAAGUGCCACCAGCAGAGCCCCUGACCGAAGCAGCAGGAUUCCAUUCCAACCGUUGACGCUGGGUUACUUCAGAUGGCCAAGCUGAAUCAACACAACCCACAGGAAGCUUGGGUCUUCUUCCCAGCAGAAGUCACCAGCCACACAGAAGCAGCAUGGAGAGAGGAGGACUCUGACCUGGAGUUGGCUCUGAUUCAGAACAUGCCUGUGGGAAGUAAGUCAGCUCUGAGAUCCAAGAGUGUAGGCGGUCAAAAGUCCGUGAGCUUCUCCAGUCCUUGGAAGGAACUGUCCACAGCACACACUCGGCAAGCCCUGGGGAGUGCUUCGUUCCAGUGUAAGAUGGCAGCUUCCCUGAUGUAGAAACUUCGAAUGGAGUAUUUCCCGAGACUUUCCUUCAUUUGUCUAGCUAUCUGUUGGCCCCUAAACAUGUGUACAUACCAUUGGCACAUCCAGGUAAGUAGAUAUGUGGUCAUAUAUAUGAACUAACACAUAAUGUUUAUGUAGAUUGAGCUUCUUCCAAAGUUAAAUUAUGUUUUAUUGCACAGUAAUCAUGCUUUCUCACAACGGACACUUUUCUAAGUCAGUAACUCAGCACUUCCCAAUUUUCAAGGGCUUCCUAGAAUCCUAUUGGAUGACUAUGUCAUUGUCUGCCUAACAUUUACAAUUCUGAAAUUAUUUCUAGUUUUUUCCUGCUCACAAUCUUGGAAAGAACUACCUUGCUUUUCAUAAUUAGCAUGCUUUUCUACCUGUGUAGUAACUAGAACUGAGCCUGGGCUACACAUAUGCCUGGCAGGCUCUCCAUCAGAGUGCUACCUCACCUAAACACAUGUUAGGCAGGCUCUCCAUCAGUGUGUUGUAUCACCUAAAGACAUGCUAGGUGGGCUCUCAUUCACUGUGCUAUACUACCAGCUCUACACUACUUAUCUUACAAGUGCUCAUAUUCAACUCCUUCUGCUUUUAGACAGAAAAUACAAAGUCCUUCAGGAACCCAGAGGUUUUUUUUUUUUUUUGCAUUGAUGCAAAGUCCCAGUAAGCACUUCUUGGACUGUCAUUAACUGAAUCAUAUCAAAAGGUCAUUCUAAGAGGUCAACAUACCUAUUCCUCUCCCACAUAUAUGAACAUAGGGAGUUUGUAUCAUAGAAUGUUUUUACUUUAUUGGAGAGUGUUUUCUCUUCCAGAGAUGUCAAAAUAUGAGCUUCAGAAGUCACAGAAAUGGAAAUUUCCUCAUAACAACAGUUCUCAGGGUGUAGUGGUAAGAAUGGAAACUAAGACCCCAUCUGUAGCAGCCUUUGGCUACUUGGUAGGUUCUUUCUUCCACCUUUCUCCACCCUUUUUUCCCCUUUCAACCCCCUAUAACUAGAUAAGAGAGAACAUGGAUAGAGAGGAAAGGGGGCAAUGCUAUUGUUAGAAUACUUCCUGCUAAUUAAGGGUGUUGAGUUCCUUGGGGCAAGUUCGAUCUUCAACAUCAAGGAUAUUUAAUUUUUAGUUCUUUGCACACAACUACUUAACACACCACAACCAACAGCAACCAACCUACCUCUACUUCUCAGGGCCCUGGCAUUUAUAUACUCUUUGAAAAGUUCCCAGAAUUCCACACAGUUGCAGAAUCUAUCACUGACAAAAAUCACACCCCUAUUAGAGCAUGAGGCAAAUCAUAGUCAAUUUGCCUUGUGCUUAUCUGAAGCAAUCAGAUCUGAAGCAGGCCCUAUCCCACACAUGGGAUUAAAAUGAAACUAUAUUGCCAUAUUUCUUUGAUUUAAAAAGCAAAACAAAAAUAAACCAAGCAACUAACCAACCAAACAACUCCAAACUUAGGUAAGUUACCCGCAGAAAGGUUAUUUAGAAUUAGAUGAUUUAAUUAAUGCAUGAUGAGUGCCCUGCUUAGAGACAGUAGUCAGGAAUCGAACGCAUUCAGCUCUGCUCUUCAGAAAGUCUCAUCAUUGGUAAACAGGAAGAUCAAAUCACGUGUCUUCUUCACUUUCACUCUUUUGUGUUCAGAGUGGUCCUGAAUUCCCACAAGUUAAUGGAAUGAGAACAAUGUUACCAAUUACCUUUAGUUUGUAAUCAAUGUCCUGUCUAGCUCUGUAUUCUGUGGGGGCUCUAAAGGAUGCUGUGAGCUUAUUCUCAAGUGUAACUCCAGUCUGUGACCUAUGGGAAGCCUGUGCCAGGCGUCUGAGGUCUGAAUCAACAAUUUGUCAUUACCACCUGCCCUACUAUGUUCCCAAGAGGAGCACUGCCAGGAUAAUGAAUCCUUCAAGGCAGUUGAACAAAUGGCUGUUUCUGGUUCUCUACAUACUUCCCUAGUGUUUGUCUUGGUAAAUGAGAGAGGUUCUCUGCACCCUUGGAUUUUCAUUUCCUGUGCUCUCUUCUCCUGAUAAAUUGAGAGGGUUUUCCUGAAAUGAGAUAUGACAGCCUCCAUGGAGACGAAGCAGGGGUCCAGAAACCCAAGACAUAGUUUUCUUUGCAUUGAGUGACAGUUCCAUGCCACAGGGUGAUGUUGAAGUAUGGUUACUGCUCUGAGCAGAGAUGGCUCUGUUGGACUCCUGCCCUCUGUCUGCCAGCAGAAACUCCUUGCAGGCAAUGUGGACUAGGAAAAUCAACAAUCCAAGAUCCACAGGUCCCAGAAAUAUCCUGAGAGUGGGAGGGAGAUGGAGCAGCAAGCAUCUAAGCAUUUCUUGUGCCUGUUCCUUCCUUUCCUUCAUAUCCUAUUCAAAUUCCUCUCAUACACUUAUUAGGGUAGAACAGUGAAAUUAACCCACCACUCGAUGUGUCCUGAGUGGGAGUGCAGGAAAUGCCUGAUUCUCACUGGAUUAGUCCUACAUUUCUGGUCCAAAGCAUACUUGCUUUCCAAAGAAGGAAUGUGUUUCAGCCAAUGUGACGGUGUGAUCAUAUUUAGGAGAUGUGAUUGACAAUAACAUGCUAUAUAAGUUUGGAGGGUGGAAUUGUUCCAUCUGUGCAUUUUAAGAGAUCUGUGCUUGAACACAAGGAUCACUGAACACCAAGAAUAGCAUUAUGCCCUUUCUUGUGACUGGCUUCGGUGAACUUAGUCACCUGGGGCCUGCCAUAUCUGGAGUAGCGCAUGAGCUCAGGGUAGUGUUCCACAUUUUCUCUCACACCUACAACCUGCUGUCAUUACCUGUCCUGAUGUUAUUAAAACCUUCUGUUCUCUAGCCAGUCCUUCCCUUCUGUAAUGCUCAUGCUGUUUUUCAAGGCAUGGGAUGUCUACCCUCAAGGUGGAUUUCUCUGGAAAACAUCCUGAUGUGACUCCCUGCCAAGGAUCUGUCCAACAUCCUGUUGCAUACUGGAGAAAUCUGAUGCUCACUUGAUGACUCUCUGUCUUUCCAUACCACAUGACUCUGGCCUCAUUAUACCUAAUUACAUUACACCUUGUUCUCAGAACACAGUAAGCCACUUUCUGCCUUCACAUUAACUCCCAUGGCACCAGCUCCACCUUGAUACCUCUUGUCCCACCCCCAUUCCCUGGAAAAAGCAAUAUUUUUCUCCUAAUCCUGCCUUCAAGUGUUGCAGCUCUGAGGGAAAAGGUAUCCUGGUAGUAGAAAGCCAAGGAAUGUCACAAAGCCACACCACAAAAUAAAUAUCACACAAGAGAUGUAUUGGGAGAGACUGAAGAGUGUGGGUGCUUUCCCCAGUGUUCCGUCGUAGCAGUGAGAAAAAACAGGUAAUACAACUUCACAUGUGAGAAACUGAAAACCAAAACAUUCCACAAGGGGCUCUGAUCAGUCAAGACAACCAGAGCAUCGAGGACUCUGGGAAAGGAAUGCCCGGGAGGAGCCGAGUUUUCAGACCACUGCCCUCAGAGACAGGGUCUAGACUCCCAAAUGUCGCUUCUGACUACAGUACAGUCUGUGGCCUUGUUUGCUUCUUCACCAACUUCAUCCAAUAAGCUACGUUCUCAGGACAAUUCACAGUGGCUCUAUCUGGCAAUGAAAGGUCUACAGUGCUGUUCUAUCACAGCACACGGUGGCUGGAAGCUCCUCUCCACAUGCUCCCUCUGUAGUCCAUUUCCACCCCCACCCGUGUUCUCAGCCUCCACUGUCAUCUAUUUGUGGCUGCUGCUCCGGAAGCCGUUAAUCACCCUGCGUGUCUGGUGGCUGGUUUAUGGCUCAGACGUGAACCCUCUGAUGUAUCCUCAGCACCGUUGGUGGUACAGCAGCCUCCGCUGCCUUGCUCUUUCCUCUACGCGCGUAAAAAUGUGCAACUCCGAAGACAACGAACGUCCUGAUCUCUUCAGAGAGAAAUGAACUUGUCCUACCGGCAGCCAUUUUCCUCCCAGGUUCUGUAUUUCUGUAUUUAAAACCACAUGCUAUAAGAUCAGCUGCUGUGCAUGCCUGCUGAGUAAACUCCGGUGGGGAUACUAAAACCCGCGGCUCCUACUUCUCAAGGAAUGACUAGGUUAGGAUGUGCACAUGGGUCUCAGCACCCCAUGCAUUCCAAGGACAAUUGUCGCAGAACUGAACCAUAACACUGAAUAGUCCUGUGUUAUAAGAAUUAUGGUUUUGAUUGGAAAAGUAGGUUAAUACAUUACUUACAUUUCUAUCCAGAUUUUUA